rnacentral:lncRNA from 1 species
GGAUAAGUAUUGAUAGAACUAAAUUUGAGGAUUAGUACUUGAAAGGAAAUAAGGGAAAACAUAAUCAGAUGUUAAACGAUAAGGAAAUAUAAAAUUAAAAUAUAGAGAAUAUCAUUCUCACUCUUAGACCCAGGAAGCACACCGUACGAAGAAUAGGGAGGGUAUUGGUUGGGUCGACCAAUACCGAUACCUGCUUCAUUUGACAAAAAUCGGAACCCAUACCCACCCC